rnacentral:rRNA from 1 species
GGAAUAUUGGUCAAUGGAGGGAACUCUGAACCAGCCAUGCCGCGUGAGGGAAGACGGCCCUAUGGGUUGUAAACCUCUUUUAGCCGGGAGCAAUAAGGGUCCUGCGGGGUCCGAUGAGAGUACCGGCGGAAUAAGCAUCGGCUAACUCCGUGCCAGCAGCCGCGGUAAUACGGAGGAUGCAAGCGUUAUCCGGAUUUAUUGGGUUUAAAGGGUGCGCAGGCGGACCGUUAAGUCAGCGGUGAAAUACCGGGGCUCAACCCCGGGGCUGCCGUUGAUACUGGCGGACUAGAGUACGAGCGGCGCCGGCGGAAUGUGUCAUGUAGCGGUGAAAUGCAUAGAGAUGACACAGAACACCGAUCGCGAAGGCAGCUGGCGAGGACGGUACUGACGCUGAGGCACGAAAGCGUGGGGAUCAAACA